GGUGUGGGGGAGAUCAGUGAUGGAGCGGAGCGGGUAUCCCCCCCCCCCCCCCCAGAAUCUGCGACCACCGCCCGGGGAACAGGUCUCUCUACUGUAAGUGCGGCCACAUCCUGAGGAGGGCGCUACAGAGCCUGUGCGGACACCGAUACUGUGCCUGAGAAUAGCAGAGGGUCCGGUCCAUUAUCAUCAGGAGAGAACAUCAGAGGGUCCGGUCCAUUAUCAUCAGAAACACAACUGUGAAAAAACCAUCUGCAAGGAUCCGACUAAAGGCAAAAACCACCAGGGCGGCGCCAUGGACUGUCCAUACACUUCUCUGGGCUGCACCUACA